CAGAAGUAAAAUUUGCCUUGCUGAGGAAAUUAAAUUUAUGUUUGAGUGCUAUUUCUUUUGCAGCACUGAAAAUUUAUUUCUAACAGUAGCCUCUAAUGCAUUUCACAAAUAGAAGGUAAUAUUACCACUAUUGGAUUAGAGUUUUCCCCUCAUUUCCUCCAUUUUCCUUGUUUCUUCCAUUUUCUAUAAGGAUUUUUUAAAAACAGUCUUAAGCAAAGUCUUCAUAAGAUUUGGGAAGUCAGACCUCACAUCACUGGGAUACUGGUCAGAGGACAGCCCUUGGAUGUCUUCUAGAGUCUCCAUUCCCUCCUUCGCAUGAGUCCUUUCUGUGAUUAGGGUAUGGCAGCAACAACCAAGAUGGGGGCUCUGAAAGGAGGGCAAGGGUUCAGGGGAGGAGAGCAUGGCCCCACAUGGAAUGCUGCCCUUGGUCACCCCAGCCCUCUCUCAAUUUCCCUCACAACCCACCAUCAGGAGCCUCAGAGUAGGCCAGCGUUUGAAACAAGUUUUCAGUGCCGCAAAAGAAACAGCACUCAAACAGAAAUUUUUUUCUCAGCAAGGCAAAUUUACUUCUGCAGAAGGGUGCAGCUGGCGCCAGACAUGAUCACAAGAGCACACUGAGUAGGGUGGGGCAGGAGUUUUUAUCCCUAAUGCAGCAGCUUCUGUAGCUGUGUCCUUUCCCCAUUGGCUGGAGUUGGACUGCACAAUCUAAGCUGAGACCUGACUGGCUACUGUUUAAAAUUGAACAGGGCUAACUAGGCAGGAAGGGAGAGGCUGUCCCUUACAAUUUUAGGGUGCAGUAAAGGCAGAAAGGAUAGUUGCAGAGUAGGGAAUAGAUGUGAGUUAUAGAUUAGGACUGAUGGGAAGAUUGUUUACCAUAAUUAGAGGCAAGGGGGCAUAAAGAACGAGGAAGUUACUCUUUGAAAAUAGAGAACAAAGAACAAGGAAGCUGAACAAGCUGACUCUUCUUUGAAGAGGAACCCACCGUACCCAACACCAGAAAGACUAUAACCUUGCUUUGAAGGCUGGGAGUCCAAGAUCCAGGUGUCAGCAGUGUUGGUAUCUCCUGUGGCCACUCUCCUGGGCUUGCAGACGGCGUCUUCUCCCUGUGUCCCCACAUGACCACCCUUCUCCACCUUAGCAUCCCCGGUGUCUCUGUGUGUCCGGAUGUCCUUUUCUCAUGAGGUGAGGACACAGUCAGAUUGGAUUAGGGCCCACCCUAAUGGACCUGUUUAAAGGCCCUGUCUCCAAGUACAGCCACAUUCUGAGAUACUGGGAGUUAGGGCUUCAAGAUACAAAUUUUAGAGAGGCCCACUCCAGCCCAUCACAAAGACAUAAGGGUGGGGGCCCCAUAAUGAAGACAGAGUUGGGUGGGGAGUAAUGACACAUGAAUAUGCCCCUUUUGUCAUCCUUUUAAAAAGUUGUAGAAGGAAUAAGUUAGGUCACAUAUGUAAAAGUUCAAUAAAAGGCCAUCGAAUAAGAAUUGGAACUCUAGAAAAUCUCCCAGGUUGUCUUUGUUGACAAACUGGUUUCUCUUUCUCUUCUUUCUACUAUUAUAACCCCAGGGAAGUGAACUUGACAUGGUUUAGCAACCAAAUAAAGCCAUACGUCACUGCUGCUCUUUGAAGAUAAUGAAAUCUGGCAUCGAGAUCUUUAUCUUUGCAGGAACCAAAGGCCAGAGACUUCUCAGCAAACACAAGUGGGUGUCUAGUAUCUGGGGCAAAGGACCGUGAGGCUGGAGAGAGAAACAGAAGGGAAGAAGGGUCCCUUACUGGCUGUCACAGGAAGCUGUGGGAUGCAGACACAUCCAGGGAAAGGCAGAGGCUGCCUCCAAGGCUACAUGACCUGCAGGCAGCCCCGGACCCCCUGGGGAGGACUCAGGUCUCCACUGAAGGGACAGCCGAACAGAGGGAAAUGGAAGUAGAGCCGUGGGGACUCCUGGGAGGGGGAAGAAGGCAUAGGAGGGGAGAGUGACCAGGGAGACAAGCCCCUCAAGGUCAGAGAGGGAAGCCAGUGGGUCCCCGAGGGUGGGGUCGUGCAGUGAAAUGUACUGUAGGAGGUGGGAGCAGGUGUUGGGAGCACGUGAAAGUCACAGCCAGCCUCAGGCAGCACCACUCAAGUCUAUCUCAGUUGCUUAUCUGGUCCAGAGAGGUUGAAAGGAUGGGAAAGCUUCAAGACUGGAUUCUUCGCAUCUGCUCUAUGACAGAGAAGGUUAGGACCAGAAAGUGGCCUCUGCAAACACAGCCAUUUAUAUGUUUGGACUACUGUGUUUGCUUUGAUUUUCCAGUUUCCUAAAUAAGAAAGGCUGCUGCUUAAGAGUCCAGUCUGAUCUCAACUAAGGGGAAAAGACAUUUGUUUCAUUUCCAUUAAGGGUGGGAUGUGGAGAGGGAUCAGUCCCUCUUUGGUGACACCCUAAGGCAGGUCCUGGGCAUCCAAUCAGCUCCUGAGCCAAGAGGGUCAGUAGAACUAGAUGCCAGGAUCCCAGAGCAGACACCAGAAACCAAGGGCUUCUGGGGCAAUCAACCCCCACCUGCUGCCUGAAAGGCUUCCUUUGCCCACUACUUUCCAGGACCAGAGAGAGAAGCAUCCCUGCUGAUGAGAAAGAACAGACACUCCCAGAGGACAAGGUCCACCUGUCAGGCAGCCACAGCCCAGCAUACUCUGGAGUCUGAGGUGGGGGUCAGUUGUGAAGAAAGGGAAGAAGGAAGAAAAAGGAUACGUUGUGCUCCGACCACAGGCCAAGCAGGUCAGAAGACGGUAUUUACCAAGUCUCUUCCCAAAAUACUUGCAAAUGCACAUAAUCUCAAAGUGUUUUUGAGGGCUCUUCCGAUCUAAAAUUGGUCCUAGUGACAAGGGGUGUUUGGGGAAAUCAAAGGGCUGGCUUAACUAUGUAGACCUAGGUCUGGUCUUAUUUCUGGCCCAUACGAUCAUCAUGACCUUGGACAAAUGAAACUUCCUGGGCCUCAAGUUCCUUGUAUCAGAAAGGAUGGCAUUCAGCUGCGUACAACAGAAAACCAAAUCACAGUGGCUUAUCCAAGAAAAGUUCAAUUUUUCUCAAAACUACAGCGUCCUGGGCUGAUGCGGCAGCCCCAGGACGACCUCAGCAUCUCACUCCUCCUUUCUUUACUCGGCCCCAUCCUCAGGCUGUGACUUUCAUCCUCAGGUUUGUCAUCUUUUGGUGGUAAGAUGGUUGCUCUACCUCAAGCUCACAAAAAGAAAUGGGGGAAAGCAGGAAAGAAGAAAAUCUGCUUCCCCAGAGACUCUGAGGCUGCACUUGCACAUCUUAUGGAUCCAAACUGUGUCCCAUGGCUGCCCCUAGAUGCAAGGGGCCUGGGGAAAUGAGCGGAUUCAUCAGGUACACUGCAACCGUACAUGAAAGGAAAGUUCUGUCAAUAAAGAAGAGCGAAAUCUACAUUUGGUCAGGAAACAGCAUUGCCUGCAAUAUGCCUCAUAUGAAAUAAAGCCUUUCUUGCCCCCAUUCUGCUACUCGGUCAUUCUUGCACUCAACAAAUAGAUGUUGAGUGCCCACUCUCUCCAGGCCAUGUUCUAGGUGCUGCGGAUGCAAUCCUGAAUCUAUGAACACGAUUGGCAGAACAAUAAAUAUUGAUUGUCUUGGCCACUCACCAAAUAAAGUGCUCCUGGGAAGGCUGAGAUCUAAUGCAAAGCAGCAGCUUGACUUUCUCACUCCCUGGCAACAAUGCCAAGCAAGAGAAAGCGAUGGGUAAGGCCUGGCUCAAGAGUCUCACUGCAACCUGCACUGUAGAUUCUACCUGCUAAUUUCCUCAGCCUUCUCUGGUUUUGGGCUUCAGAAUGCCCUAACUCUGGGCCCGGCGCGGUGGCUCACGCCUGUAAACCCAUCACUUUGGGAGGCCAAGGCGGGUGGAUCACAAGAUCAAGACCAUCCUGGCCAACAUGGUGAAACCCUGUCUCUACUGAAAAUACAAAAAUUAGCUGGGCAUGGUGGCUUGUGCUUGUAAUCCAGCUACUUGGAAGGCUGAGGCUGGAGGAUCGCUUGAACCCAGAAGGCAGAGGUUGCAGUGAGCUGAGAUCACACCACUGCACUCCAGCCUGGCAACAGAGUGAGACUCUGUCUCAAAAAAAAAAAAAAAAAAAAAAAGAAUGCCCUAAGUCUACUCUGGACCAUGAGCAAGGAUAAUCUGUCUUAGAGGAGAGAAGGUGAGGUUAUGAUUCCAGAGCAUUUGGUGACCCAGGAAGUAGACCUGCCUCCUCCUAUCUGUCCACAGAGCAGUCCUAGGGGCAAUAGGCCAUGAGAAGAUCAUGCCAGGCAGUCCAUUUCUAUAUUACCAUGUAAACAAAAACUCAGCUGUGAACCCUGGAACGUUCGUAUUCUGCAGCUGCCAGUGUAAACUGGUACAGGCCUCUUGAAGAACAGUGGGGAAAGGCACUCUGAAAGCAUCCACGCCUCCAUACCUGCUGAUCCAGGGCUCUGAUUUUCCUUCUGGGAACCAAGCCUAGGAGAAUGAUUCAAGCUGCAGAAAACCUUUCUCCACUAAGAUGUUUGCUGUGGCAUUCAGUAUAAUAGCACACCAGAGAAACAAUCUAAAGAUUCAUCAGUAGGAGAAUAUCUAAGUAAAUUAUGGUACAUACACUCAAUAAAAUGUUAUAUGACUACUAAUUAUGGUGGUUACAAAGACUAUCUCUUUAAGAAAAAUGCUUCUGUGAAUGGUUAAGUGAAAAUUGCAAGAUACGGGCUGGGUGCAGUGGCUCACACCGGGUGCAGAGUCUCACUCUGUUG
rnacentral:lncRNA from 1 species